rnacentral:lncRNA from 1 species
UGGCACCCCCUCAUCCUUCUUGGCAAAGCACAUUAUUUGAUGAGCUAUUCAUCAACAAGACCAACAUCUCAAUCUCAUCAUCAUCAUCAUCCUCAUCCUCAUCGAAAUAAUCACUACCCUCUUUUAAAAAUGGAGAGGAGUGUAGUUCAAAUCUAUCUAUUCUUUUGCUGCCAUUGGAUGGAUAAAAGAUAGCACCAUCUGAUAAUAAUGGGAUAUUAGGAGCCUAGGCAAAGGUUUGAAUGGCUACUUAGCAA